rnacentral:rRNA from 1 species
UACAGAGGUCCCAAGCGUUGUUCGGAUUCACUGGGGCGUAAAGGGUGCGUAGGCGGUCGGGUAAGUCUGACGUGAAAUCUCCAAGCUCAACUUGGAAAUGGCGUCGGAUACUAUUCGGCUCGAGGAGUGGAGGGGAGACUGGAAUUCUCGGUGUAGCAGUGAAAUGCGUAGAUAUCGAGAGGAACACCAGUGGCGAAGGCGAGUCUCUGGAUACUUCCUGACGCUGAGGCACGAAAGCCAGGGGA